rnacentral:rRNA from 1 species
GACGAACGCUGGCGGCGUGCUUAACACAUGCAAGUCGAACGGUGAAGCGCCUUCCUUUUUGGUGGGUGUGGAUGAGUGGCGAACGGGUGAGUAACACGUGAGUAACCUGCCCCCUUCUUCUGGAUAACCGCAUGAAAGUGUGGCUAAUACGGGAUAUGCUGGGUCUGUCGCAUGAUGGGUCUGGGAAAGAUAUUGUUUCGGUGGGGGAUGGGCUCGCGGCGUAUCAGCUUGUUGGUGGGGUGAUGGCCUACCAAGGCGGCGAUGGGUAGCAGGCCUGAUAGGAGGAUCGGCCGUCAUACAAGUGCGACAACACCGACACGCCUCCUACAGGCAGCAGUGGUGAAGAAUGGUGCAUGGUGGGCAGACGGCUGCAGCAGUGCCGCGGCGGGGGAGAUGGAGUCCUUCGGGUAGUGACCUUCUGUCGGGAGUGAAGCGGGGCUGCCUCGUUUGUGGGUGUGUUGACGGUAGCUAGAGAAGAAGCACCGGCUAACUACGUG